UGGCUCUUCUUUGACAAAUGAAUUGCACUGAGUACUUCACUUUUAAUUUCUCUAUAGACCAUCAUGCAGCAUGCCUCAGUUUUGGAAGUUUGGAAUACCAUUUCAAGCAGGUACUUCUCAGAGAUUGGAAUCAUCUUUAAAUGGGGCUCCUGAAAAACAAGAAACUACAAUGUUUUGCACAUUUUGAUAACAAGGAUGAAAGAGCCAGCACCAAUAAGGUACACUGGUGGAGGUUAAGGUAUCCAUCUACAGACUGUGCACUGAAAUCUCUUUCAGUGACGUACCUGACUUUCUUGAAGAUGUAAAUGGCGUGUCAUCUCGGAGUUUAAAAUGGAGAAGGUACACCUUUUCAGCCUCCUUCUCUUAGAGGUUACAUUUUCAAGUAAAC
rnacentral:lncRNA from 1 species